rnacentral:rRNA from 1 species
UACGGGGGGGGCAAGCGUUGUUCGGAAUUACUGGGCGUAAAGGGCUCGUAGGCGGCCAACUAAGUCGGACGUGAAAUCCCUCGGCUUAACCGGGGAACUGCGUCCGAUACUGGAUGGCUUGAGUUCGGGAGAGGGAUGCGGAAUUCCAGGUGUAGCGGUGAAAUGCGUAGAUAUCUGGAGGAACACCGGUGGCGAAGGCGGCAUCCUGGACCGAUACUGGCGCUGAUGAGCGAAAGCCAGGGGAGCAAACGGG